rnacentral:pre_miRNA from 1 species
GAUAUACUCCCUCCGUUCCGAAUUACUUGUCGCAGGUAUGGAUGUAUCUAGAUGUAUUUUAGUUCUAGAUGCAUCCAUUUCUGCGAUGAGUAAUUUGGAACGGAGGGAGUACAUG